rnacentral:rRNA from 1 species
UAGGGAAUAUUGGACAAUGGGGGCAACCCUGAUCCAGCAAUGCCGCGUGAGUGAUGAAGGCCUUAGGGUUGUAAAGUCCUUUCGGCGGGGAAGAUAAUGACGGUACCCGCAGAAGAAGCCCCGGCUAACUUCGUGCCAGCAGCCGCGGUAAUACGAAGGGGGCUAGCGUUGCUCGGAAUCACUGGGCGUAAAGCGCACGUAGGCGGAUUCUUAAGUCGGUGGUGAAAUCCUGGAGCUCAACUCCAGAACUGCCUUCGAUACUGGGAGUCUUGAGUCCGGGAGAGGUGAGUGGAACUGCGAGUGUAGAGGUGAAAUUCGUAGAUAUUCGCAAGAACACCAGUGGCGAAGGCGGCUCACUGGCCCGGUACUGACGCUGAGGUGCGAAAGCGUGGGGAGCAAACA